AUUAUAUUUGUGUCAAAUUAAACGAACGCAACUUUUGCAAAAACAAACAAAAAUAUACAUUGAUAAAAGAAAAAAACACUCUGAAAAUAAAAACAAUCAACUAACUAGCAAAAAAAUUAACAUCAUCUUUAAAUAUACUGCAUUCUUUGUUUAUGGUUUUCUAAGUUUCAAUUUCACUAAACAUAGUUUUGAAUGUGCUGCAAUUGUUUUCGUUUUCGCUUUCCAAGUUUUCGUUUGCACUUCGCAAAUUUACGUUCUCCAUUUUGACACAAACCUCUCGUGAGGGGCGGGCUUAACACCGGUUCGCUCUUAUUGGCUUGUGAGAUUUUGAUUGACAGCUCAUUGAACCGGAACCCCGAAACAGAAGGUGGCGGUAGUGCACCAAUAAGCUGGAUGCCAACUGCUGUUAAAAAUAACAAGAAGAAGACGAAGAUCGGAGGCUGUUCUUCAGCGGAGCUGCAAGUAGUCUUAACAAACGGUAAUAAGAGUAUAUUAAAGAACAGUAAUGAUAAAACACGGAUAUUUUACACAUCAGCAGAAGAAUAACAACGGUUCAAGAUGAGUAAUCGAGAGGCUCACGGUCCAGAGCAUCAACACCAUCCUCCUCGGCUGGACAAUCGAGGCAGCCUGAGGACCAAAGAUUGUCAUUUCUCCAGGUAGGCACUGAACCAGUUCAUGUUGUUCUCUAUUUAUAAAAUACCACUUUAAAGGGGCUUUGGUAUAUUUUUAGGUGUUUUUAGUUGAUGUUUUUAUAAUAUUUGAAAUGUAACAAGUUAAGCAUAGAAUUCAUAUUAGCUAUUCCUACAAGAACAAGUGUGAGAUCAUAUUUUGCAGCGUAUGUUAAGUUUAAAUCAAUUUUUAUUCAAAUCAAUUAAUCUUUAAUGCACGUUUACAAGAGCACCGUGCUACAUAAGGUUAAAAUGAAGCCUUGAAAGUGGUAGUCAUGUUUGCUGUUACUGGUGGGACAGAAAGCUCUCUUUGAAAAGAUAACAUUUUAAAGAUCUUUACUUGUGUUCAGAAGAUGAACAAAGGCUUAAGGGUUUGGAACGACAUGAGGGUGAGUAAAUGACGCAGAAUUGUCUUAUUUAGGUGUAUUAGCAGCACUCUAAAAGUGAAUAUCUGCACCACAUCUGGUGGUAUUCAGCCCACCUGCCCUUAAUGUAGAAAUGCCACUAAUUUGGUUUCCAUAAUACUUCACAUGAUGAUUUACUAUGGACAAACAUUUUUUUUAAUAAGCUACGAUUUGACAGUAAUUCUCUCUUUUUUUUUUUAGAAUUGAGCCUCUAUGGUGUGAUGUUUGGUCAGCCGUCUCUUGUACUAUGAAGAACUGCAAUGGAAUAGGAGACAGUGCUUGAUUCGGCAGGUGAACUGCACCUAUUUUAUGGUGGAACAACUUUUUUAAGAGGACAUUGUUGACAUUCACAGAGGAUGAUGGUGUGGUCAUGGUGCCAGAGAUCUAUUGUCCUUUGUCAGACCAAAAGCCUUUGAUAUCACCAUUGAAUGUCCAGGAGUUAUACCAACAGACACUCGACUCGAUGUCAUGCAAAGACUGUGCUCCAUUUAAAUUGUAAAAGUCAUUUUCAGGUUUGAAAGAUGCAGAAGUUGGUUCACAGAUGAACUUUUCCUUUAAAACUAUUUCCCACCUACAAUGGAGACACAUCUCUGACUGCUGGGCUUCCCCUCUUAUUGUGUUCAGAUUCAUAUGCAUCUGCAGGGUUAUUCAUGCCAACACUUUAUAGCGUUGUGCUGGUAAUUUAUCUUUAUAUAUCAUGCCUUCUCACUGCAUCUGUCAGCCUGUGCUUUACAUAUCUGUGAGUCAACGCAGCUGAACAUGAAGGACAAAUGCAAUGCAAGACGUUAUGCAUGUUAUAUCAGCAUAUGGAUGAUUAGAUUAGAAACUGCUUUCUGUUGGUGUGUUUAAACAUCACAUGACAUAGAAAAUUUACUGUCUUCCAUUUUCUGUUGUGUAAUAAAUCAUAGGAAAAUCA